UCGCCACAGCGGCACAUAUAUUAAAAUUGGAUCGAUACAGAGAAGAUUAGCAUGGCCCCGGCGAAAGGAUGAGACUUUAUAUUCUUUGAAUUAACUUAGCUUUUU
ensembl:snRNA U6 U6 spliceosomal RNA